rnacentral:rRNA from 1 species
GAUGAACGCUAGCUACAGGCUUAACACAUGCAAGUCGAGGGGAAACGGCAUUGAGUGCUUGCACUCUUUGGACGUCGACCGGCGCACGGGUGAGUAACGCGUAUCCAACCUUCCCAUUACUGUGGGAUAACCUGCCGAAAGGCAGACUAAUACCGCAUAGUCUUCGAUGACGGCAUCAGAUUUGAAGUAAAGAUUUAUCGGUAAUGGAUGGGGAUGCGUCUGAUUAGCUUGUUGGCGGGGUAACGGCCCACCAAGGCAACGAUCAGUAGGGGUUCUGAGAGGAAGGUCCCCCACAUUGGAACUGAGACACGGUCCAAACUCCUACGGGAGGCAGCAGUGAGGAAUAUUGGUCAAUGGACGGAAGUCUGAACCAGCCAAGUAGCGUGCAGGAUGACGGCCCUAUGGGUUGUAAACUGCUUUUGUAUGGGGAUAAAGUUAGGGACGUGUCCCUAUUUGCAGGUACCAUACGAAUAAGGACCGGCUAAUUCCGUGCCAGCAGCCGCGGUAAUACGGAAGGUCCAGGCGUUAUCCGGAUUUAUUGGGUUUAAAGGGAGCGUAGGCUGGAGAUUAAGUGUGUUGUGAAAUGUAGACGCUCAACGUCUGAAUUGCAGCGCAUACUGGUUUCCUUGAGUACGCACAACGUUGGCGGAAUUCGUCGUGUAGCGGUGAAAUGCUUAGAUAUGAUGAAGAACUCCGAUUGCGAAGGCAGCUGACGGGAGCGCAACUGACGCUUAAGCUCGAAGGUGCGGGUAUCAAACAGG